rnacentral:lncRNA from 1 species
CCUAAAGCUUUAAAUGUCAGAUCAUGAGGGUCUGAAUGGGGAUUCAGUAUUUCUGUAUUCUAUAUUUUUAGGCAAUUUGUUUUAUAAUUCGUUUUACCUUUUGCCGAUCAUUCUUUAUUCCAUAUAUAUUCUAGUACCUCAUCAUUUUCUUUUCUAUUUGUCUGGUUAUUUUUUGUAUUCUUUAUUUUUUUUGUCUAUAAUUUCCUUCUAUAAACCCCCAUUCACACCCUCAUGUAUAAUGGAAGACGAUAAACAUUUUAGUAUACAUACCACCCGUUGUCACUUUCACCUGACAUACAAAUCACAUAUUGUUAUUACGGCCCGUUAUUUCCACCUGGACACAGGACUUAUAUAAUAUAUAU